UACAGAGGGGGGCAAGCGUUAUUCGGAAUUAUUGGGCGUAAAGGGCGCGUAGGCGGCUUUGCAAGUGGCGGGUGAAAGCCCUCGGCUUAACCGAGGAACUGCCUGUCAGACUGUGAGGCUUGAGACCGGGAGAGGUGAGUGGAAUUCCCAGUGUAGCGGUGAAAUGCGUAGAUAUUGGGAGGAACACCAGUGGCGAAGGCGGCUCACUGGACCGGAACUGACGCUGAGGCGCGAAAGCGUGGGGAGCAAACAGG
rnacentral:rRNA from 1 species